GUGUAGAUGUUUGUUGAUAUUCAUUUUAAGAAAAAAAUUGUAUCAGAUUAAAAUUGUGGAUAGAUUUUUUUGGAAUAACCAGUUAAAUUCGCAAUUUCGUUACAUUUUUUCGGGUUUUUCCAAGAAUUGAACGAGAAAGUGUAAAUACUGGUUCUGAUGAUAAACAAACUUGAAGCAUCGUAAUUUGUGACCAAAAAUGGUCACUCGGAGUAAUAAUAAUCGAGACCAGUGCGCUGUGCAGGAUUUUUGUAUCCAACCGGCCAAUAUGGCUGGCAUUCCAGUACUGUCCCUACCGAUUCGGCUUUCGAAACGAGGUCUCUCAAUAAGUUUGCAACUAAUGGGACUCAGUUUUUCGGAGCAGCAACUAUUUCAAUCAGCACGUUGGAUAGAAAAAGAAGUUGAACAUUUUUUAGAAAAGUAUGAUUUUAAUAUAAAUAUAAUAAACAAAUAAAGUUUAAUUUUAGUUGAA